rnacentral:lncRNA from 1 species
CCACAACUGGCUGAUGAAUUCAAUUUUCAUUCCAAACCCCCUUUCUUCCCAAGAUGGUAAAGACUAGAACAAGAAUUCGUAAGAACUCUUUCUAUGCUCCUAAUAUCAAAGUGACUUUUUCCCCCUAAAGCAAUCCUAUUCUCUGCCCUAAAGUCUGGAGCAUGCACCAACUGGUAAGGGCAUUUGUCAAACAUUUUAUUAUAGAUUGUAUCUUUUAAUAAAAAAUACUAUUGUGACCAUUAAUCUAUUUAUUUGUUCUAUAAAUAUUUAUUGAGUGGCACUAUGGCUGUGAAUUUUCAGCUGUCGUGCUCACAAUUGAGUGGAGGACACAGACAAGUUAACAGGUGGUAAUGAUAUGACAAAUGAGCAUAUGAAGAGGAUAAGCACCAGGUGUUGUGCGAUCUCCUUGGAGGCAUAUCCACCUAGCCUUGGAAGGAGAGGUGACAGGAAGGGAAGUUUCCCUGAUAAGAAUAAUGAAGUGUUAGCUACACCGGUAUAAGGGUGAGGAUGGGGAUAUGUGUUCAAUUGCGGGGGGAAAAAAACCCUUCUAGUUUAAAGACCUGGACACUGGAGAAGCCUAGGCUUAUCGAGGAACAGAGGAGGUGGUGUCAAGGAACAAUUUAUAAUUUAGAGGCUGGGAAUGGUAGGGGAGAGUGGGAAAUAAAGAGUGGUUGAUUAAUGGGGACAAGUAUAUACUUGGAAGAAAUAAGACUUGGUGUUCAAUAGAUCAGUAGGAUGACUAUAGCUAACAUCAACCAAUUGUACAUUUCAAAAUAGCUGGA